GCCACCAUGGCCGAGUGGUUUAAGGCGGCACAUUUAAGUUCUUCAAAACUGAACUGUGCUAUCGAAAGAUGCGUGCGUUCGAACCGCACUGGUGGCA